rnacentral:lncRNA from 1 species
AAAAAGUAAUCAAUCGAACGUUUAAAUAGAGCACUCAAGUAAAACGAGUAAAACCCUGUUUCGACAAAAUAAACUAUAACAAGACGAAACUCGCAGAAACGGAAGGAGAUGACGACGGAACUUACACAACAAUCGCACAAUCGACAUAACAAGAAACGAAAGAAUUCCUAAUUAAUGCAGAAUCAAGUAUAAAACAAACAAAAAGAAAAAAUAAAAAGGAAAGAAGAAAACAAAGAACUAGAAAAGGAAAGAAAAAAAUGAAAGAAUGAUAUAAUUAAUUUAGAAUGAUUUAAGUUAACCACCAACCAGCCUUACAGCGUUUAGCAAAAAUAUUUCC